UACGAAGGGUGCAAGCGUUACUCGGAAUUACUGGGCGUAAAGCGUGCGUAGGUGGUUCGUUAAGUCUGUCGUGAAAGCCCCGGGCUCAACCUGGGAAUGGCGAUGGAUACUGGCGGGCUAGAGUGCGGUAGAGGAGAGUGGAAUUCCCGGUGGUAGCAGUGAAAUGCGUAGAGAUCGGGAGGAACAUCAGUUGCGAAGGCGGCUCUCUGGACCAGCACUGACACUGAGGCACGAAAGCGUGGGGAGCAAACAGG
rnacentral:rRNA from 1 species